UGUGAGCUCGAUGAGUAGGGCGGGACACGUGGUAUCCUGUCUGAAUAUGGGGGGACCAUCCUCCAAGGCUAAAUACUCCUGACUGACCGAUAGUGAACCAGUACCGUGAGGGAAAGGCGAAAAGAACCCCGGCGAGGGGAGUGAAAAAGAACCUGAAACCGUGUACGUACAAGCAGUGGGAGCCCCACCACUAAGCCAGUGGUGAACUCCACAUACGCAUCCUUUGCUGAGGAUACGGUUAACGGAGCGAAAGCGACGUUCAACCUCAAAAGAAGCAGAGGGGGCUUAGUGGUGGGGUGACUGCGUACCUUUUGUAUAAUGGGUCAGCGACUUAUAUUCUGUAGCAAGGUUAACCGCAUAGGGGAGCCGGAGGGAAACCGAGUCUUAAC
rnacentral:rRNA from 1 species